UACAGAGACCUCAAGCGUUUAUCCGGAAUCAUUGGGCGUAAAGCGUACCGAUAGGUGGUUUUAGAAAGUCAGAAGUGAAAUCUCUCAGCUUAACUGGGAGACUGUCUUUUGAAACUUCUAAACUAGAGGGGCAAAGGAGGAAGCUGGAACGAACGGUGUAGUAGUGAAAUGCGUUGAUAUCGUUCGGAACACCAAUAGCGUAGGCAGGCUUCUGGGUGCCACCUGACACUGCUAGGACGAAAGCGUGGGAGCGAAUGG
rnacentral:rRNA from 1 species